CAGACCGUAAACGAUGCCAUCUGGCGAUCCGCCGGCGUUAUGUAUGACUCGGUGGGCAGCCACCGGUAAACCUUUAAGUCAGGUUCCGGGGGAAGUAUGGUUGCAAAGCUGAAACUUAAAGGAAUUGACGGAAGGGCACCACCAGGAGUGGAGCCUGCGGCUUAAUUUGACUCAACACGGGGAAACUCACCCGGCCCGGACACCGUAAGGAUUGACAGAUUAAUAGCUCUUUCUUGAUUCGGUGGGUGGUGGUGCAUGGCCGUUCUUAGUUGGUGGAGCGAUUUGUCUGGUUUAUUCCGAUAACGAACGAGACUCUAGCCUACUAAAUAGACAGUGCUUUUCUGGAGUACUGCGCUUCUUAGAGGGACAAGCGACGUCUAGUCGCACGAGAUUGAGCAAUAACAGGUCUGUGAUGCCCUUAGAUGUCCGGGGCUGCACGCGCGCUACACUGAAAGCAUCAUCAUGUCUCUAAGCCUACCCCGAAAGGGGCGGGUAACCCGAUGAAACGCUUUCGGGUGAUUGGGAUAGGGAGCUUGCAAUUAUUUUCCCUUGAAACGAGGAAUUCCCAGUAAGUGGCCGGGUCAUCAGCUCGCGCUG
rnacentral:rRNA from 1 species